rnacentral:rRNA from 1 species
UGAGGAAUUUUGCGCAAUGGGCGAAAGCCUGACGCAGCAACGCCGCGUGUGCGAAGAAGGCCUUCGGGUUGUAAAGCACUUUCGGGAGGGAAGAAGGAUGCACGGUAAACAAUCGUGCAUCUUGACGGUACCUCAAGAAGAAGCUCCGGCUAACUCCGUGCCAGCAGCCGCGGUAAUACGGAGGGAGCAAGCGUUAUUCGGAAUUACUGGGCGUAAAGCGCGCGUAGGCGGCUUUUCAAGUCGGGAGUGAAAUCCCACGGCUCAACCGUGGAACUGCUUUCGAAACUGGAGAGCUAGAGGAUGAGAGGGGAAGGCGGAAUUCCAGGUGUAGCGGUGAAAUGCACAGAUAUCUGGAGGAACACCAGCGGCGAAGGCGGCCUUCUGGAUCAUACCUGACGCUGAGGCGCGAAAGCGUGGGGAGCAAACAGG